AAUGGGUCAGCGACUUAUAUUCUGUAGCAAGGUUAACCGAAUAGGGGAGCCGAAGGGAAACCGAGUCUUAACUGGGCGUUAAGUUGCAGGGUAUAGACCCGAAACCCGGUGAUCUAGCCAUGGGCAGGUUGAAGGUUGGGUAACACUAACUGGAGGACCGAACCGACUAAUGUUGAAAAAUUAGCGGAUGACUUGUGGCUGGGGGUGAAAGGCCAAUCAAACCGGGAGAUAGCUGGUUCUCCCCGAAAGCUAUUUAGGUAGCGCCUCGUGAAUUCAUCUCCGGGGGUAGAGCACUGUUUCGGCAAGGGGGUCAUCCCGACUUACCAACCCGAUGCAAACUGCGAAUACCGGAGAAUGUUAUCACGGGAGACACACGGCGGGUGCUAACGUCCGUCGUGAAGAGGGAAACAACCCAGACCGCCAGCUAAGGUCCCAAAGUCAUGGUUAAGUGGGAAACGAUGUGGGAAGGCCCAGACAGCCAGGAUGUUGGCUUAGAAGCAGCCAUCAUUUAAAGAAAGCGUAAUAGCUCACUGGUCGAGUCGGCCUGCGCGGAAGAUGUAACGGGGCUAAACCAUGCACCGAAGCUGCGGCAGCGACGCUGAUGCGUUGUUGGGUAGGGGAGCGUUCUGUAAGCCUGUGAAGGUGUGCUGUGAGGCAUGCUGGAGGUAUCAGAAGUGCGAAUGCUGACAUAAGUAACGAUAAAGCGGGUGAAAAGCCCGCUCGCCGGAAGACCAAGGGUUCCUGUCCAACGUUAAUCGGGGCAGGGUGAGUCGACCCCUAAGGCGAGGCCGAAAGGCGUAGUCGAUGGGAAACAGGUUAAUAUUCCUGUACUUGGUGUUACUGCGAAGGGGGGACGGAGAAGGCUAUGUUGGCCGGGCGACGGUUGUCCCGGUUUAAGCGUGUAGGCUGGUUUUCCAGGCAAAUCCGGAAAAUCAAGGCUGAGGCGUGAUGACGAGGCACUACGGUGCUGAAGCAACAAAUGCCCUGCUUCCAGGAAAAGCCUCUAAGCAUCAGGUAACAUCAAAUCGUACCCCAAACCGACACAGGUGGUCAGGUAGAGAAUACCAAGGCGCUUGAGAGAACUCGGGUGAAGGAACUAGGCAAAAUGGUGCCGUAACUUCGGGAGAAGGCACGCUGAUAUGUAGGUGAAGCGACUUGCUCGUGGAGCUGAAAUCAGUCGAAGAUACCAGCUGGCUGCAACUGUUUAUUAAAAACACAGCACUGUGCAAACACGAAAGUGGACGUAUACGGUGUGACGCCUGCCCGGUGCCGGAAGGUUAAUUGAUGGGGUUAGCGCAAGCGAAGCUCUUGAUCGAAGCCCCGGUAAACGGCGGCCGUAACUAUAACGGUCCUAAGGUAGCGAAAUUCCUUGUCGGGUAAGUUCCGACCUGCACGAAUGGCGUAAUGAUGGCCAGGCUGUCUCCACCCGAGACUCAGUGAAAUUGAACUCGCUGUGAAGAUGCAGUGUACCCGCGGCAAGACGGAAAGACCCCGUGAACCUUUACUAUAGCUUGACACUGAACAUUGAGCCUUGAUGUGUAGGAUAGGUGGGAGGCUUAGAAGUGUGGACGCCAGUCUGCAUGGAGCCGACCUUGAAAUACCACCCUUUAAUGUUUGAUGUUCUAACGUUGACCCGUAAUCCGGGUUGCGGACAGUGUCUGGUGGGUAGUUUGACUGGGGCGGUCUCCUCCUAAAGAGUAACGGAGGAGCACGAAGGUUGGCUAAUCCUGGUCGGACAUCAGGAGGUUAGUGCAAUGGCAUAAGCCAGCUUGACUGCGAGCGUGACGGCGCGAGCAGGUGCGAAAGCAGGUCAUAGUGAUCCGGUGGUUCUGAAUGGAAGGGCCAUCGCUCAACGGAUAAAAGGUACUCCGGGGAUAACAGGCUGAUACCGCCCAAGAGUUCAUAUCGACGGCGGUGUUUGGCACCUCGAUGUCGGCUCAUCACAUCCUGGGGCUGAAGUAGGUCCCAAGGGUAUGGCUGUUCGCCAUUUAAAGUGGUACGCGAGCUGGGUUUAGAACGUCGUGAGACAGUUCGGUCCCUAUCUGCCGUGGGCGCUGGAGAACUGAGGGGGGCUGCUCCUAGUACGAGAGGACCGGAGUGGACGCAUCACUGGUGUUCGGGUUGUCAUGCCAAUGGCACUGCCCGGUAGCUAAAUGCGGAAGAGAUAAGUGCUGAAAGCAUCUAAGCACGAAACUUGCCCCGAGAUGAGUUCUCCCUGACCCUUUAAGGGUCCUGAAGGAACGUUGAAGACGACGACGUUGAUAGGCCGGGUGUGUAAGCGCAGCGAUGCGUUGAGCUAACCGGUACUAAUGAACCGUGAGG
rnacentral:rRNA from 1 species